AUACAGUUCCAGCAAUGGUCUUGUAAUUGGAAUGAGUACAAUUUAAGUCCCUUAACGAGUAACAAUUGGAGGGCAAGUCUGGUGCCAGCAGCCGCGGUAAUUCCAGCUCCAAUAGUGUAUAUUAAAGUUGUUGCAGUUAAAAAGCUCGUAGUUGGAUUUUGGGACUCGAGCGGCCCGGUCUGCCGAGAUGGUGUGUACUGGCCGCUCGGUUCUUCGUCUGCCGGUCUAGUUCCGUCCUGCACUUCACUGGGUGGGGCGUGGGCUCCGGCUCGUUUACUUUGAAAAAAUUAGAGUGUUUAAAGCAGGCCUAACCAAGUGCCACUGAAUACAUUAGCAUGGGAUAAUAAAACAGGACUUUGCGCCUAUUUUGUUGGUUUCUAGGAGGCGAAGUAAUGAUUAAUAGAGAUAGUUGGGGGUAUUCAUAUUUAAUUGUCAGAGGUGAAAUUCUUGGAUUUAUGAAAGAUGAACAUCUGCGAAAGCAUUUAUCAAGGAUGUUUUCAUUAAUCAAGAACGAAAGUUAGGGGAUCGAAGACGAUCAGAUACCGUCGUAGUCUUAACCAUAAACGAUGCCGACCAGGGAUUGGGAGACGUUAAAUGUAUGACUCCCCCAGCACCUUGAGAGAAAUCACAAGUCUUUGGGUUCCGGGGGGAGUAUGGUCGCAAGGCUGAAACUUAAAGGAAUUGACGGAAGGGCACCACCAGGAGUGGAGCCUGCGGCUUAAUUUGACCCAACACGGGGAAACUUACCAGGUCCAGACAUAGUGAGGAUUGACAGAUUGAAGCUCUUUCUUGAUUCUAUGGGUGGUGGUGCAUGGCCGUUCUUAGUUGGUGGAGUGAUUUGUCUGGUUAAUUCCGUUAACGAACGAGACCUCAGCCUGCUAAAUAGUUACGCAAACCGCCUGUAUGUGUGAAGCGCGGGCACGUUGGGGCCGGUUUCGAUCGGCUUCGGCUGCCCGCGUGGAUCACUGGCAGGUUUCGCGGAUACACUUCUUAGAGGGACUAUUGGUGCCAACCAAUGGAAGUUUGAGGCAAUAACAGGUCUGUGAUGCCCUUAGAUGUCCUGGGCCGCACGCGCGCUACACUGAUUACUUCAACGAGUAUACCACCUUGCCCGACAGGGCUGGGUAAUCUUUUGAAAUGUAAUCGUGAUGGGGAUCGGUUGCUGUAACUGCGGCCGUCAACGAGGAAUUCCUAGUAAGCGCAAGUCAUCAGCUUGCGUUGAUACGUCCCUGCCCUUUGUACACACCGCCCGUCGCUCCUACCGAUUGAACGGUCCGGUGAAGUCUCGGGAUCGCGGCGUCCAUCCGUUGGGGCAACUCGGCGGUAACGCUGUGAGAACUUGCCUAAACCUUAUCGUUUAGAGGAAGGAGAAGUCGUAACAAGGUUUCCGUAGGUGAACCUGCGGAAG
rnacentral:rRNA from 1 species